rnacentral:rRNA from 1 species
AACAAACGCUGGCGGCGUGCCUAAUACAUGCAAGUCGAACGGGGAAAGCUUUCGGGUGAGUACUAGUGGCGCACGGGUGAGUAACGCGUGGAUAAUCUGCCUUAGAGUGGGGGAUAACUAGUCGAAAGAUUAGCUAAUACCGCAUAAGACCACAAGAACUGCGGUUCAAGGGGUCAAAGGUUUUUCGCUCUAAGAUGAGUCCGCGUAAGAUUAGCUAGUUGGUAGGGUAACGGCCUACCAAGGCGACGAUCUUUAACUGGUCUGAGAGGAUGAUCAGUCACACUGGAACUGAGACACGGUCCAGACUCCUACGGGAGGCAGCAGUAGGGAAUAUUGCACAAUGGAGGAAACUCUGAUGCAGCGACGCCGCGUGAGUGAUGAAGGCCUUCGGGUCGUAAAACUCUGUCGCAGGGGAAUAACACAAUGAAGGUACCCUGUAAGAAAGGAUCGGCUAACUUCGUGCCAGCCGCCGCAGUAAGAC